rnacentral:rRNA from 1 species
GAUGAACGCUGGCGGCGUGCCUAAUACAUGCAAGUCGAGCGAAGAGGGGAAGGGUGAGUAACACGUGGAUAACCUACUAUAAGACUGGGAUAAAUUCGGGAAACCGGCGCUAAAACGGAUAAGUAUAGAUGGAUCGGCGCUGCAUUAGCGAGUUGGUAAGGUAACGGCUUACCAGGGCAACGAUGCAUAGCCGACCUGAGAGUGGGAUCGGCCAGACUGGAACUGAGACACGGUCCAGACUCCUACGGCAGGCAGGAGUGGGGAAGCUUCCGCAAUGGGCGAAAGCCUGACGGAGCAACGCCGCGUGAGUGAAGACGGUCUUCGGAUCGUAAAACUCUGUUAUUAGGGAAGCGGUACCUAAUCAGAAAGCCCCGGCUAACUACGUGCCAGCAGCCGCGGUAAUUC